CUAAGGAAACCAAUAAAAUCAAUCAUCUUCAGUUUUGAAAGACUUAGGAUAACUAAGUUUUUCUUCGUGACUUCACGAAGGGCCUAUAGCUCAGUUGGUUAGAGCACACGCCUGAUAAGCGUGAGGUCGGUGGUUCAAGUCCAUUUAGGCCCACCAGAGUUAUAGGUGUCGUAAGAACACAAAUUCUUUGAAAAUUAGGUAAAUAAUAGUUAUUUUUCCGGA
rnacentral:misc_RNA from 1 species